rnacentral:rRNA from 1 species
AUGGAACCAGUUGCAUCUUGUGGCAUGUUCAUUCGUUCAGUAUUAUUCGGUGAUCUGAAUGUGAAUCGAGCGUAUGGAACUGCAAUGUUCACAUUGAUUCAUAACAUAUUUGUUGAUAAUCUAGAUGGUCAGAAGUAUGUUUCGUCAAAGAUACGGGACCUAUCUACUUCUGUGGACUUUGAUACUCUCAGUUCAUCUUCAUCAGACCUCUGGUGCUUUUAUGAUAGUAUUGGUAGAAUUACCAGUUUACAAGUAAUCUACUGUAUUCGGAUACAUGUCAAUGGCGAUCUGACAUCAUCAGGAGAGUUGUUGACAUAG